UACGUAGGGGGCGAGCGUUGUCCGGAAUUAUUGGGCGUAAAGGGCUCGUAGGCGGUUUGUUGCGUCGGGAGUGAAAACUUCGAGCUUAACUCGGAGCUUGCUUUCGAUACGGGCAGACUUGAGGCAUUCAGGGGAGAACGGAAUUUCUGGUGUAGCGGUGAAAUGCGCAGAUAUCAGAAGGAACACCGGUGGCGAAGGCGGUUCUCUGGGAAUGUUCUGACGCUGAGGAGCGAAAGUGUGGGGAGCGAACAGG
rnacentral:rRNA from 1 species